GAUCAUGGCUCAGGAUGAACGCUAGCUACAGGCUUAACACAUGCAAGUCGAGGGGCAUCAGUUUGGUUUGCUUGCAAACCAAAGCUGGCGACCGGCGCACGGGUGAGUAACACGUAUCCAACCUGCCUACCACUUGGGGAUAACCUUGCGAAAGUAAGACUAAUACCCAAUGACAUCCCACGAAGACAUCUGAAUGGGAUUAAAGAUUUAUCGGUGAUGGAUGGGGAUGCGU
rnacentral:rRNA from 1 species